GCAAAAACUGAGGAGGAAGAAGCUAAUGAUGAACAACCAUCAGAUAGUGGUGAUGACUCUGACAAUGAUGAUGAAGCUCCUAAAGAAGGAAGUGAUCAGGAAGAGAGUGGUUCUGAGAAAAGUGAGAAACAAGAGGAAGAGGAAGAAGUGGAAGAGAAACCAAAGAAAAACAAGUCUGGUGAGAAGGUUAAUUCGAAGAAGAGUGUGAAGAAGGAUUCAGGGAGUAAAGCAGCAGAGAAGACUAAGGCCACAGAAAAGGGCAGCCCUGCGAAGUCCUUGAAAAGUUCAUCAACAUCUACCCCUUCAAGUUCAGUUUCCAAGAAAGGUGCUUCUGCUGCUGAUUCAACAUCUAAAGCCAAGAAAGAAAAGGCUGAAAAGAAAAGUAAAAAAGAAGAAAUUGAACCUGUGAAGGAGAAUUCUUCAAGCAAGAAACAAUCAAGCAAGUCUACUUCAAAGGUUUCUGAAAAAGGAAAAGGGAAAAGUGUAAAGAAGGCUAAGGCAGAGCCCAGCAAAGAAGAAUUGCAUGCAGUAGUAUCAAUUAUUCUUAAAAAAGUGGAUUUUAACACUGCAACUUUAUCUGAUAUUAUCAGGCAAUUAGGUAGCCACUUUGAUCUGGAUUUGAUGCACAGAAAAGCAGAGGUAAAAGCUAUCAUCACUGAAGUAAUAAAUAACAUGAGUG
rnacentral:misc_RNA from 1 species